UUAAGCGACUAAGCGUACACGGUGGAUGCCCUGGCAGUCAGAGGCGAUGAAGGACGUGCUAAUCUGCGAUAAGCGUCGGUAAGGUGAUAUGAACCGUUAUAACCGGCGAUUUCCGAAUGGGGAAACCCAGUGUGAUUCGUCACACUAUCAUUAACUGAAUUCAUAGGUUAAUGAGGCGAACCGGGGGAACUGAAACAUCUAAGUACCCCGAGGAAAAGAAAUCAACCGAGAUUCCCCCAGUAGCGGCGAGCGAACGGGGAGGAGCCCAGAGCCUGAAUCAGUGUGUGUGUUAGUGGAAGCGUCUGGAAAGGCGCGCGAUACAGGGUGACAGCCCCGUACACAAAAAUGCACAUGCUGUGAGCUCGAUGAGUAGGGCGGGACACGUGGUAUCCUGUCUGAAUAUGGGGGGACCAUCCUCCAAGGCUAAAUACUCCUGACUGACCGAUAGUGAACCAGUACCGUGAGGGAAAGGCGAAAAGAACCCCGGCGAGGGGAGUGAAAAAGAACCUGAAACCGUGUACGUACAAGCAGUGGGAGCCUCUUUAUGGGGUGACUGCGUACCUUUUGUAUAAUGGGUCAGCGACUUAUAUUCUGUAGCAAGGUUAACCGAAUAGGGGAGCCGAAGGGAAACCGAGUCUUAACUGGGCGUUAAGUUGCAGGGUAUAGACCCGAAACCCGGUGAUCUAGCCAUGGGCAGGUUGAAGGUUGGGUAACACUAACUGGAGGACCGAACCGACUAAUGUUGAAAAAUUAGCGGAUGACUUGUGGCUGGGGGUGAAAGGCCAAUCAAACCGGGAGAUAGCUGGUUCUCCCCGAAAGCUAUUUAGGUAGCGCCUCGUGAACUCAUCUCCGGGGGUAGAGCACUGUUUCGGCAAGGGGGUCAUCCCGACUUACCAACCCGAUGCAAACUGCGAAUACCGGAGAAUGUUAUCACGGGAGACACACGGCGGGUGCUAACGUCCGUCGUGAAGAGGGAAACAACCCAGACCGCCAGCUAAGGUCCCAAAGUCAUGGUUAAGUGGGAAACGAUGUGGGAAGGCCCAGACAGCCAGGAUGUUGGCUUAGAAGCAGCCAUCAUUUAAAGAAAGCGUAAUAGCUCACUGGUCGAGUCGGCCUGCGCGGAAGAUGUAACGGGGCUAAACCAUGCACCGAAGCUGCGGCAGCGACGCUUAUGCGUUGUUGGGUAGGGGAGCGUUCUGUAAGCCUGCGAAGGUGUGCUGUGAGGAUGCUGGAGGUAUCAGAAGUGCGAAUGCUGACAUAAGUAACGAUAAAGCGGGUGAAAAGCCCGCUCGCCGGAAGACCAAGGGUUCCUGUCCAACGUUAAUCGGGGCAGGGUGAGUCGACCCCUAAGGCGAGGCCGAAAGGCGUAGUCGAUGGGAAACAGGUUAAUAUUCCUGUACUUGGUGUUACUGCGAAGGGGGGACGGAGAAGGCUAUGUUGGCCGGGCGACGGUUGUCCCGGUUUAAGCGUGUAGGCUGGUUUUCCAGGCAAAUCCGGAAAAUCAAGGCUGAGGCGUGAUGACGAGGCACUACGGUGCUGAAGCAACAAAUGCCCUGCUUCCAGGAAAAGCCUCUAAGCAUCAGGUAACAUCAAAUCGUACCCCAAACCGACACAGGUGGUCAGGUAGAGAAUACCAAGGCGCUUGAGAGAACUCGGGUGAAGGAACUAGGCAAAAUGGUGCCGUAACUUCGGGAGAAGGCACGCUGAUAUGUAGGUGAAGCGACUUGCUCGUGGAGCUGAAAUCAGUCGAAGAUACCAGCUGGCUGCAACUGUUUAUUAAAAACACAGCACUGUGCAAACACGAAAGUGGACGUAUACGGUGUGACGCCUGCCCGGUGCCGGAAGGUUAAUUGAUGGGGUUAGCGGUAACGCGAAGCUCUUGAUCGAAGCCCCGGUAAACGGCGGCCGUAACUAUAACGGUCCUAAGGUAGCGAAAUUCCUUGUCGGGUAAGUUCCGACCUGCACGAAUGGCGUAAUGAUGGCCAGGCUGUCUCCACCCGAGACUCAGUGAAAUUGAACUCGCUGUGAAGAUGCAGUGUACCCGCGGCAAGACGGAAAGACCCCGUGAACCUUUACUAUAGCUUGACACUGAACAUUGAGCCUUGAUGUGUAGGAUAGGUGGGAGGCUUUGAAGUGUGGACGCCAGUCUGCAUGGAGCCGACCUUGAAAUACCACCCUUUAAUGUUUGAUGUUCUAACGUUGGCCCCUAAUCGGGGUUGCGGACAGUGUCUGGUGGGUAGUUUGACUGGGGCGGUCUCCUCCUAAAGAGUAACGGAGGAGCACGAAGGUUGGCUAAUCCUGGUCGGACAUCAGGAGGUUAGUGCAAUGGCAUAAGCCAGCUUGACUGCGAGCGUGACGGCGCGAGCAGGUGCGAAAGCAGGUCAUAGUGAUCCGGUGGUUCUGAAUGGAAGGGCCAUCGCUCAACGGAUAAAAGGUACUCCGGGGAUAACAGGCUGAUACCGCCCAAGAGUUCAUAUCGACGGCGGUGUUUGGCACCUCGAUGUCGGCUCAUCACAUCCUGGGGCUGAAGUAGGUCCCAAGGGUAUGGCUGUUCGCCAUUUAAAGUGGUACGCGAGCUGGGUUUAGAACGUCGUGAGACAGUUCGGUCCCUAUCUGCCGUGGGCGCUGGAGAACUGAGGGGGGCUGCUCCUAGUACGAGAGGACCGGAGUGGACGCAUCACUGGUGUUCGGGUUGUCAUGCCAAUGGCACUGCCCGGUAGCUAAAUGCGGAAGAGAUAAGUGCUGAAAGCAUCUAAGCACGAAACUUGCCCCGAGAUGAGUUCUCCCUGACUCCCUGAGAGUCCUGAAGGAACGUUGAAGACGACGACGUUGAUAGGCCGGGUGUGUAAGCGCAGCGAUGCGUUGAGCUAACCGGUACUAAUGAACCGUGAGGCUUAACCUU
rnacentral:rRNA from 1 species